AGGGCUGACAUCUGGCUCCCUCGUCAAGGCUUGGAAGUCUGCCCUCACGAUGGAAUGCAUGAGGCCCUACACCCCACUCUGAUGGCAAGGAAAUGGUAUUUAAAAAAAGGAAAAAGAGUUUUUAUAGGACAAGGAUAGUUGAGGAAGAGCAGAAAUAAGAACUUUUUGUUAGUUCAUACUCCCAUAUGACUAUAUUUUGCAUUAAAUUUAAACAUAAUACAUACAGAAAUUCAAGAAACUCACCCAAGCAGCGGAAAAAAAAAAGAAGAAAUCAUGUUCUCUAGGCUGUC
rnacentral:lncRNA from 1 species